GUACUUGCUUUGGCAGCACAUAUGCUAAAUUGGAACAAUACAGAGAAGAUUAGCAUGACCCCUGUGAGAGAGGAUGACAAGUAAAUUCAUGAAGUGCUCCAUAUUUAA